CCCAGUAGUCAGCACUUCGGUGUUGACAUGAAUAUCAAUUAUAUGGUCAUAUUAUAAAUUUUCUGUUUAUAAAACUUUGAAUUUUUCGAAAAGCUAAGGAUUUUCUUACCCCAGGAGUAGAUUACCUUAGCCGUAUUUGGCAAAACUUUUUUGGAAUUUUGGGUCCUCAAUGCUCUUCAACUUUGUAUUUGUUUGGCUUUUUAACUAUUUUGAUCUGAGCGUCACUGAUGAGUCUUAUGUAGACGAAACGCGCGUCUGGCGUAUAAAAUUAUAAUCCUGGUACUUUUGAUAACUAUUUACACCACUGGGUCGAUGCCACUGCUGGUGGACGUUUCGUCCCCGAGGGUAUCACCAGCCCAGUAGUCAGCACUUCGGUGUUGACAUGAAUAUCAAUUAUAUGGUCAUAUUAUAAAUUUUCUGUUUAUAAAACUUUGAAUUUUUCGAAAAACUAAGGAUUUUCUUACCCCAGGAGUAGAUUACCUUAGCCGUAUUUGGCAAAACUUUUUUGGAAUUUUUGGGUCCUCAAUGCUCUUCAACUUUGUAUUUGUUUGGCUUUUUAACUAUUUUGAUCUGAGCGUCACUGAUGAGUCUUAUGUAGACGAAACGCGCGUCUGGCGUAUAAAAUUAUAAUCCUGGUACUUUUGAUAACUAAUUAAA
rnacentral:lncRNA from 1 species